CGCCUCUUGCACAACCUGGUAUAAGAGGUCCUGCCUGCCCUGUGACUAUACGUUUAACGGCCGCGGUAUUUUGACCGUGCAAAGGUAGCGCAAUCACUUGUCUUUUAAAUGAAGACCUGUAUGAAUGGCACGACGAGGGCUUAACUGUCUCCUUCCCCCAGUCAAUGAAACUGAUCUGCUCGUGCAGAAGCGAGCAUAAAAACAUAAGACGAGAAGACCCUAUGGAGCUUUUAGACGCAUGAGCAGACCAAGUUAAAAGACCUGAUUAAUGGAACAAACUGAAUGGAAUCCGCCCAGAUGUCUUUGGUUGGGGCGACCGCGGGGAAACACAAAACCCCCACGAAGAGAAGGUAUUAGCCUUUGUAGCCAAAAACAGCAGUUUGAAGCAUCAAAACAUUUGACCGUAAGAUCCGGCAAAGCCGAUCAACGAACCAAGUUACCCUAGGGAUAACAGCGCAAUCCCCUUUUAGAGUCCCUAUCAACAAGGGGGUUUACGACCUCGAUGUUGGAUCAGGACAUCCUAAUGGUGCAGCAGCUAUUAAGGGUUCGUUUGUUCAACGAUUAAAGUCCU
rnacentral:rRNA from 1 species